rnacentral:rRNA from 1 species
AGGGUGUAAACGCUGCAGACUUGGUGUUGGAGGCCCUUUGGGGGCAUUCAGUGCCGGAGAGAAGUUGUUAAGUCUGCUACUUGGGGGAGUACGUCCGCAAGGAUGAAACUUAAAGGAAUUGGCGGGGGGAGCACCGCAACGGGAGGAGCGUGCGGUUUAAUUGGAUUCAACACCGUAAAACUCACCAGGGAAGACUGUUACAUGAAGGCCGAGAUGAAGACUCUGCUAGAUUUUCAGAGAGGUGGUGCAUGGCGUCAGUGACU